GCGGGGCUGGCCCGGCCCGGCUCGGCUCGGGCUCGGUUCGUGACCGGGCCCGCGCACAUGGCCCGGUCCGGGCACCGGGACCGCGCG